GCACGGAUGGCAGAGUGGACAAUUGCACCAGACUGUAAAUCUGGCGGCCUUGCGCCUACGGGGGUUCGAAUCCCUCUCCGUGCACAA
rnacentral:tRNA from 1 species